UACAGAGGGUGCGAGCGUUGUCCGGAAUCACUGGGCGUAAAGGGCGCGUAGGCGGCCCGAUAAGUAGGGGGUGAAAUCUUGCGGCUCAACCGCAAGGCUGCCUUCUAGACUGUCGGGCUUGAGCACAGUAGAGGCAGGUGGAAUUCCCGGUGUAGCGGUGAAAUGCGUAGAUAUCUGGAGGAACACCGGUGGCGAAGGCGACAUCCUGGACCGGUAUUGACGCUGAGGCGCGAAAGCCAGGGGAGCAAACGGG
rnacentral:rRNA from 1 species